CAUCCCCUCCCCGCACCUUCCUCCCUUCCAUCCCCUCCUUCUUCUCCCUCAAGUCAACGAGGCCGUCGCUGUCGCUCCAGCUGCAGCGUGGCGGGGCUGCGCGCGGCUGGCGGAGACUGCGGCUGGCCAGGGAGAGAUGACCUUAAAGCUGACCGCCCUCCCCCACCCCACUCACAACCUGAAAGCUGGGCUGGAAGGAGCCCAAUUCCGAAAUAAGGAAAUCCGUUCUCCACUUGCGUCUUCCUGACCCUGCUUCGAAACAGCUUCUCCAACGCAGACCCCAUCCAGCUUCCCAUUAGGUUUCUCCAGUAUGGCUCCUGCCAACAUUGCUCUAUGCAUUUUCUUUACUAUAUAUUGUGAAACAUAUGAAGUCAUGUGGGAACAAACACCUCUACUAUCAAAGAAAAGUCAUAGAGGAAAGAGUCUAACAGCGAGGUCCUGCAUUAUGGAAUAAAUAAUACCUGAUUAGCAUAAGUUCACAAUUCUCUGGAUUUUCUCUAUUUUUUCAAGAAAGGAUGUAAAACAAAAUUCAUGUCUAUCCUUGCAGCUCUUUUUCUUGUAAAUGUGAUUAUUGUAGUUAGAUAGAAAAUAUUCUUAUUUCUUGAGGGGAGUCAGAAUGGGAAACAGUGCCCCAAGGGAAUUUCCCCAGGGGGAGAUAUGCUACUAUAGACCUCAGGCUGCAAGGUCAGUGAAAACCUAUCCUGCACUAUACUUUUGUUCUGGAAGCUUUUGGAACCCAGAGAAAUCAUGCUUUAGUGUUAUUUAGGGAGAUCACAAGUCAGGAAGGUUGUAAAUGUUCUGGAAGCUCAUAGAAAGUUUUUAGAUAUUAAUAAAUUUAAUGGAAGAUUAAACCUAAAUUACUUCUUUCCAAGGAUCAGCAUAGGACACUCUAAAGAUUCCUUUUAUCUUAACCACCAGUAUAUGCAGAUUUACCUUGCUGAACAGAGCAUACACAUUUCUCAUUGUUUUACAACUCGGCAGCUCUUUUUGUGUGUGUCAAAUGAAAACUGUAAACUAGAUUACUGUACAUUUUAUUCUUUGUAGUGUUUCCCAUUGUCAGACACUGAGAUCUUCAUUCUUAAAGGGUUGGAUCAAUGGUUGACUUUGUUUUGAAGCUUGUAUUUAAGAAGGUAUUUUAAAAUAAUGAAGUUCUUGCUCUUAACAUCUUCAGAAAUCAGUCCUCAAAGACCACUGCCCCACUUGUCAAUCUAGCGGACCCUGCCAUGUAACAACAAAGACCAUGAAAGUUGCUGGUAAACUGCUUUGAGUGAGAGCAGUUUACUUUCUCAAUAGAUGAGAACAGAGGUGUUUUUUUUGUUUUGUUUUAACAAAAUGAAAUUCAAUUUUAUAAAGCUUUCUGAGUCUUUGAACUGCUUUCUUUAAACACUCUUAGUAAAAUCUUUCAUGUGAAUUUCAUUAAGCUUCGAGGUCAUUUAGGAGAAAAUGGUAAGCAUAUCAAUGACAGAAGUGCUUUGCAUUUAAUGCAUAUGUGUGCCUAUCAAGAGGAUAUGUUAAGACAAGAGACCCACAUUCAUUUUCUGUUAUUACUAUUAUAUUUGCAAACAUCUUAAUGUAUCACAAAUAAAUAUUUAUGAUAAAUUGUCUCACUCAUUGUGGCUCCUAGCUAUGAGCAUAUCUACUGUACAAUAAAUAUCCCAUGUCACUAUGGUUAUUUCUACCAAUGAACUAAGAAUCAGACAGACAGAGAAAGAGUCAGACAGAAUAAUCUGUUAUUCUUUUAACCGAUUUUUAAUUACAUCUGAGAGCCCAAGAUUAUCCCCAUAAUUUUGAGAGGGAUAAUUAUAUGAUAUAUAUACACAUACAUAUGCAUAUAUAUUUGUUUUUAAAUUCAUGAAAUAUAUAUGCCUAUUGGGUUAAGAAUCUAAGAUUUUACCUAUUUUAUAUAUCCUCAUCUCAUUAAAAAAUGUUGCAAUAAGAUGUAUAAAUAUUAAUGUGUAUUAAUAUAUUUUUGUUAUGUAGAUAUGUCAAGAUAACAGAAGUUUUAAAUUCUUGUGAGCUUCAGAUAUCAUAUACUAGCAAUCAUUAAUGAUGAUGAUGAAAGGAGAUUUUCUUCAAACAAGUACUAAUUAGUGUUGUCAAUAAAUUUGUAAAUAGUAUGCUAUUUGAGCUUGUUAAUUCAUAUAACUUACUGACGGUUGUGACUACUAUACACAAUUUUGGAAAACAUUGCUAGUAAAAGAAUAUCUCUCCACUGAAGUAAACAAAAUAUCAUUAAGAAAAAAUAAUGAACAUGAUAGAAAAUGUAAUUUGUAUUGUGGUGAUUUGCUAUUUCUUAAAAAUAUGAUAGCUGCAGUAGAGUCUUGAUUAUCUUGAAUGCUCAAUAAUAGCUCUUGUAUAAUUGUAUUUUUGAUUAAGAGUUUAUUGGCAUUGCUCUUCUUUCAAUCCUUCUGUUACUUUUCUAUGAAAUAUAUUAGAAUAGUUCCUGCCUUAGUAAAUAAAGUAUACUAAACAUCA